CUUUUGUAUGUGACUCUCCACUCUGUUUCCUGCUACUGACUUAAAGAGCACAGUCAAACAUGGCCACUUGAUAAAGGCGGAGACACGGUGUUGCCUUGUGAAACUUCCUUCACCUGGAGUUAGGAGUGGAUCUGCCUUGCAAAGGAAGAUCCACUGAACCCAGGAACCUGGCCACACUCCCCUCCACCUCAGAGCUUCAAAGAUGCAAAGUGAAGGAGAGCAAAAUUAAUGAUGGCUCCAGUGGGCUUCUGUUGGCCACAGCCGGCGAGGGGUCACAGGGCUUCAGAGCCUCUACUGCAUUUCAAUGAUACG